rnacentral:rRNA from 1 species
UAGGGAAUCUUCGGCAAUGGACGAAAGUCUGACCGAGCAACGCCGCGUGAGUGAAGAAGGUUUUCGGAUCGUAAAACUCUGUUGUUAGAGAAGAACAAGGACGUUAGUAACUGAACGUCCCCUGACGGUAUCUAACCAGAAAGCCACGGCUAACUACGUGCCAGCAGCCGCGGUAAUACGUAGGUGGCAAGCGUUGUCCGGAUUUAUUGGGCGUAAAGCGAGCGCAGGCGGUUUCUUAAGUCUGAUGUGAAAGCCCCCGGCUCAACCGGGGAGGGUCAUUGGAAACUGGGAGACUUGAGUGCAGAAGAGGAGAGUGGAAUUCCAAGUGUAGCGGUGAAAUGCGUAGAUAUAUGGGGGAACACCAGUGGCGAAGGCGGCUCUCUGGUCUGUAACUGACGCUGAGGCUCGAAAGCGUGGGGAGCAAACAGG